UAAUCUGUGCAUAGCAAGGUCUGCUUGAGUUUAAAACCCCCUCCUCCUGUCAUCAAUAAGACUGAACAGAGGAGAAUUAACAAAACAGGGGCCAUCUCUCAUGUCUUCUUAACAAGUAGACCAAGAUUCAUGAUCUGGAGGGAAAGAUUGGAGAAAAAGCUCCUCAUUGCAGAAAACAGAGACAUCCUGGUAAGAGAGUUGGAGCAGAGAAUUGACAGU
rnacentral:lncRNA from 1 species